rnacentral:tRNA from 1 species
AGUUUUGUGGUGUAGCAGCAUGCCAGAUUGCAAACCUGGUGGCGUAGAAUAAACUCUACCAAAGCUU